rnacentral:tRNA from 1 species
GCCGGGGUCUCCUAGAGCUAAAGGCGGGAAAUCCGAGCCUGUGGCCCCUCGGGGCCGCGUGGGUUCAAAUCCCACCCCCGGCGCCA